rnacentral:rRNA from 1 species
GGCGAACGGGUGAGUAAUGUAUCGGAACGUACCUUUCAGUGGGGGAUAACGUAGCGAAAGUUACGCUAAUACCGCAUAUUCUGUGAGCAGGAAAGCAGGGGAUCGCAAGACCUUGCGCUGAUUGAGCGGCCGAUAUCAGAUUAGCUAGUUGGUGAGGUAAAGGCUCACCAAGGCGACGAUCUGUAGCGGGUCUGAGAGGAUGAUCCGCCACACUGGAACUGAGACACGGUCCAGACUCCUACGGGAGGCAGCAGUGGGGAAUUUUGGACAAUGGGGGCAACCCUGAUCCAGCCAUGCCGUGUGAGUGAAGAAGGCCUUCGGGUUGUAAAGCUCUUUCGGCCGGGAAGAAAUCGCAUGGGUUAAUACCCUGUGCGGAUGACGGUACCGGCAUAAGAAGCACCGGCUAACUACGUGCCAGCAGCCGCGGUAAUACGUAGGGUGCGAGCGUUAAUCGGAAUUACUGGGCGUAAAGCGUGCGCAGGCGGUUUUUUAAGGCAGGCGUGAAAUCCCCGGGCUCAACCUGGGAACUGCGCUUGUGACUGGAAGGCUAGAGUAUGGCAGAGGGGGGUGGAAUUCCACGUGUAGCAGUGAAAUGCGUAGAGAUGUGGAGGAACACCAAUGGCGAAGGCAGCCCCCUGCGCCAAUACUGACGCUCAUGCACGAAAGCGUGGGUAGCAAACAGGAUUAGAUACCCUGGUAGUCCACGCCCUAAACGAUGUCAACUAGGUGUUGGGUGGGUAAAACCAUUUAGUACCGGAGCUAACGCGUGAAGUUGACCGCCUGGGGAGUACGGCCGCAAGGUUAGAACUCAAAGGAAUUGACGGGGACCCGCACAAGCGGUGGAUGAUGUGGAUUAAUUCGAUGCAACGCGAAAAACCUUACCUACCCUUGACAUGUCCAGGAGCCUGAAGAGAUUUGGGUGUGCCCGAAAGGGAACUGGAACACAGGUGCUGCAUGGCUGUCGUCAGCUCGUGUCGUGAGAUGUUGGGUUAAGUCCCGCAACGAGCGCAACCCUUGUCGUUAAUUGCCAUCAUUUAGUUGGGCACUUUAACGAGACUGCCGGUGACAAACCGGAGGAAGGUGGGGAUGACGUCAAGUCCUCAUGGCCCUUAUGGGUAGGGCUUCACAUGUCAUACAAUGGUCGGUACAAAGGGUUGCCAAGCCGCGAGGUGGAGCCAAUCCCAGAAAGCCGAUCGUAGUCCGGAUCGCAGGCUGCAACUCGCCUGCGUGAAGUCGGAAUCGCUAGUAAUCGUGGAUCAGCAUGUCACGGUGAAUACGUUCCCGGGUCUUGUACACACCGCCCGUCACACCAUGGGAGCGGGUUCCGCCAGAAGUAGGUAGCCUAACCGCAAGGAGGGCGCUUACCACGGCGGGGUUCGUGACUGGGGUGAAGUCGAAACAAGGUA